UCUGCACAAUAAAAAUGUUUAACAG
rnacentral:piRNA from 1 species